rnacentral:rRNA from 1 species
GAUGAACGCUAGCGAUAGGCUUAGCACAUGCAAGUCGAGGGGCAGCAUGGUCUUAGCUUGCUAAGACUGAUGGCGACCGGCGCACGGGUGCGUAACGCGUAUGCAACUUGCCUCACAGAGGGGGAUAACCCGUCGAAAGACGGACUAAUACCGCGUACACUUGGGAUAGGGCAUCCUGACCCAAGGAAAUGAAAUUCGCUGUGAGAUAGGCAUGCGUCCCAUUAGCUAGUUGGUGAGGUAACGGCUCACCAAGGCGACGAUGGGUAGGGGAACUGAGAGGUUGAACCCCCACACUGGUACUGAGACACGGACCAGACUCCUACGGGAGGCAGCAGUGAGGAAUAUUGGUCAAUGGGCGAGAGCCUGAACCAGCCAAGUCGCGUGAAGGAGGACUGUCUUAGGGAUUGUAAACUUCUUUUAUACGGGAAUAACAAGAGCCACGUGUGGCUCCCUGCAUGUACCGGAUGAAUAAGCAUCGGCUAACUCCGUG